GGAGAGGUGCCUGAGUGGUUGAAAGGAGCAUCCUGCUAAGAUGUUGAGCCCUCACGGGCUCCGAGGGUUCGAAUCCCUCCCUCUCCGCCU
rnacentral:tRNA from 5 species